rnacentral:pre_miRNA from 1 species
CAAGCUAGGCCUGGAUAGAAGCACUCAUGUAUAGAAUGUGCUUAUCCAUGCCUAGUUUGAU